GCCCCGAUAGCUCAGUGGUAGAGCACCUCCAUGGUAAGGAGGGGUCGUCAGUUCAAUCCUGACUCGGGGCU
rnacentral:tRNA from 1 species